rnacentral:rRNA from 1 species
UACGUAGGGGGCAAGCGUUGUCCGGAUUUAUUGGGCGUAAAGAGCGUGUAGGCGGCCAAGCAGGUCCGCUGUGAAAACUCGAGGCUCAACCUCGAGACGUCGGUGGAAACCGUUUGGCUAGAGUCCGGAAGAGGAGAGUGGAAUUCCCGGUGUAGCGGUGAAAUGCGUAGAUAUUGGGAGGAACACCAGAUGCGAAGGCGGGUCACUGGGCUGAUACUGACGCUAAAGCGCGAAAGCCAGGGGAGCGAACGGG